AAAAAAAAAAAAAAAAAAAACAUGGCAGAGCCUCCUGAUCAGAAACAAGGUGUAAGUAUCUGUGAGCUGACAGUUUAUUUUAUGAUGAACAGUAGAGACUUACAUGCAUGAGUGGAACGUGCUCUGUUUUAUAAUCCGCAUUUAAAAAUUAAAAAUUCUAUGCAGUUCCCUUAAAAUAAAUAAAUAAAUAAAUAUCAAGAGACUGAAUGUUUUUCAACAAUAUGUGUUCUGCCCCUGUGUUAGUUCAGUUUGUCUUCCUCUGAAUUGAAGCAACAUUUAGUUGGUCCUUUUAUUUUGAAUUUUUUUUUUUUUUCAGGAAGUCUGUGUCAGCCAUAUUAGUUAUUCAUUUGUCCACGUGAUCUCAUCACCUGUUGAAAUUCUCUUCCAUCCUCCUCUUGUUUGCAUCACCGACUCCAUUGUCUGCAAGAGAUGCUACGAGCGAGUCGAUGAUCAGAGUGAAGAUGACAAAAAAAAGUGGUUCCACUCAACGGAGGUAAGCAGGUAAAGGAGAUUCAGAUCAAAGUAACUCUUGGACCAUCUCAGUGUGUCUAGAAGGCAAGAUACAUAAGCUAGUGGAAAAUCCUUUGAGAGCACCGACCAAUUCAUCAGUUUCUCUGCAGAUUCAGGAGCCAAACAAGAUAUCAGCCCCCUCCUUUCCACCGGCAGGGAGUAGCAACACUGGGCUAAGGAAAUCGAAUCAAGAAUAAAGACAAAAGGUAAACAAAAUGCUUGCCUCCCAGACGACUCCACCUCUACCGUAAACAACUAAUCCCAUGAUUCUCUUUGUUCUUUAAUCCCAUCAGCCACUGAGGCACUGCAAACCUUUCUGGAUGAAGAUAAUGGCACCCCGCUGCGUGUCUUGAUGAAGUUCAGAACCUUAUUAAACAGCAUUUUCUCGCAUGAUCCAGCAAUCAUGAAUAUCUGAUUUUUUUUUUUUUUUCCAGUCUAAACAACAAGAAGGACUUCUGCUCUCAUUAAACUUUUAGCCGUAACACAGAAAAAUGCAUUAAGUAUGAAUCUCUUUUUACUUGAAGGAACCUUUCAAAGUAAAACAACCUUUGCCCUGAACGUUUCCUGAACAUUUUAUCAUUUGAAGGGAGAUGUGUGACUGCUAUUGCCGUCUGUAUGA